rfam:Myotis lucifugus cont2.23637, whole genome shotgun sequence.
GGCAGUUCUCGGUGACACAUCCGGAAUCAGGCUCCUUCCUCUCUGGUUCUGGGUGCGUCACCAAGUCACUGCA